GGCUCAGUGGUCUAGCAGUAUGAUACGUGCUUCGGGCGUUGACCGCUUGAAUCUUCGAGCUUUUGGAUGCACGGGGUCCCGGGUUGAAUUCCCGGCUGGGCCC